UUGGAGCGGGUGGUAUUGUUGCUGGUCAGCUUGGAAAUGGACAUAUUGGCAGUGGUGGUGCAACUACCUCAAGUGGUGCGGGAUCUGCUGCCGGUAAUUUUGGCGUUGCUGGUGGAUCUCUGUCUAAUGGUAGAGGUGUCUUGAUCACUCGCACUCACACUCAAGUAACAGAGGUACACACUACGGGCAGUUCAACUGGAGCGGCUGGUGUACUUGGCGGUGGCCUUGGCAGAGGCGUUGGCGUUGGAGGAAGCGGAGGAAUCGGUGGUACGACCAG